rnacentral:misc_RNA from 1 species
AACACUGUUAACCUGCGGUACCUGCGGAAGGAUCAUUACUGAGUUGCAAAACUCCUACCAUUGUGAACCUACCUAGACUGUUGCUUCGGCGGGGGGCACUGCCCUGCUUUCCUCUGGGAAGCACCCGCCGGAGGCAUUUAAACUCUGUAUUAUUGGCCUCUCUGAGUAACUUAUUUAAUAAGUCACAACUUUCAACAAUGGAUCU